rnacentral:rRNA from 1 species
UACGUAGGGGGCAAGCGUUGUCCGGAUUUAUUGGGCGUAAAGAGCUCGUAGGCGGCUGUCCACGUCGGGUGUGAAAGCUCAGAGCUCAACUCUGAGACGCCAUUCGAUACGGGACGGCUAGAGGCAGGUAGGGGAGAUUGGAAUUCCUGGAUGUAGCGGUGAAAUGCGCAGAUAUCGGGAAGAACACCCGUGGCUAAGGCGGCUCUCUAGUACGGUACUGACGCUGAGACGGCGAAAGCGUGGGGAGCGAACAGG